rnacentral:lncRNA from 1 species
CACAUUUGGAACAAGGUGCCACAGACCUGCAUUGCCUCCAGGUACUAGGAGACUCAAGAAAGUGACCUUAUAUACUCUGGCCUAUUGGAACACUCUCUAAAUUCAGCGAUGGGCUCUUCACACACACUUUUUGCCACAGGGGUGGUCUCUCCCAGCCCUACUUGCUGGAGAGUGAACCUGGAAACUUCUUCAUGCAAGGCACAUGUUCCACCACUGCCUUUUCCAAUCUCAGGGUUGUGGGGUCGAGCCCCAUGUUGGGUGAAAGAUGGUUUGAACAUAUUUCACCAAUCCUGGCCAGAGCACACUGACUGCCAAUUAGUUUCCGGGCCCAAUUCAAAGUGCUAGUUUUGACCUCUAAAGCCUUAAAUGUCUCAGGACAGUACUUCAACGACUGCCUCUCCCCAUACGAACCUACCCAGAGCCUGAGAUCAUCCUCUGAGGCCCUUCUUCAUGUGCCUCCACGAGAGGUCCAGAGGGUGGCAACAUGAGAACAGGCCUUUUCUGUGGUGGGUCCCCAUUUGUGGAAUGCUUUCCCCAAGGAAGUUCUGCUGGUACAUUCAUUAUACACCUUUAGGCACUAGGCCAAAACAUUCCUUUUUAACCAGGCCUUUGGCUGAUUGACAUCUGAUGCCCUUUAAAAAUGUAUUUUGGAAAGGGAGGUUAUUGGGUUGUUUUGUUUUUAUUUGAUUACAUAUUUUGUGAUUUUUAUAUUGUAGUUUUAUGUUGUAAACCACCCUGAGAUAAGGGAGGCAUACAAACAAACAAACAAAUAUUGCAAGUGGUUGGACUAGAUGAUCCUCACAGUCCUUUCCAACUCUACAGAUCUGUAUUUCUCCAGUCUUUGCUGUGAGAUUAAGAAAAACAGGGCCUGAUUGGUGUAAGAACCAUGCCCUACCUUAGCUCCAGGCAAUAGAACUGCUGGGCUAUGGAACAUGCAAGCAACAUUCUGCUUGCGGCUCUGUAUUUCUUCGUUGUUACCCAGGAUCACAACCACUUCCCAGCAAUAAAAACUGGGUGGCCUGAUUUUUAUACCGUCCUGCAGCACAGCAAUUGGAUUUAAAUUAAUCUAUAUUAAGAAGCAGAAUGUGAGCUGGCUUCCCCACCCGACCCCCUUCAGAUGAGAAAUGCAUUGAGAAGGUGAAAUCCUCUUUGGGUUGUUUUUUUUUAAUUCUGUUCCUUACUGCUGGGGUCCAUUCUCAAGGGAUUUCUUGCAGAGGGAAGGCAGAGAGUUAUCUGCAGUGAGGUUUGAAAAUCAGAUAUCAUGAUAGUUCUGCUGAUGGGUGAACACACAUUAGAUGCCGUGAGUCCCCCAACACUCUCAGGAUCAGGUUUGGGUUGGCAGGAUCCAAUGGAAGAGGAGGCAGAAAUAUGGGGAGGGGGAACCUGGGUUGGAGGAGGAGGGAACUCCCCCCUUUGCCCUGUGGAAGGGGGAGCAAGGAUCUUCCCCAGGGAAGCCUGGGGAGUGCUUUGAUCAGCCAAGAUGUGGAGCUGAACAGCAAGUGGCCUGAUCAGGAGGGUGCAGGCUUGUCACCUAGAACCAGACAAUGCCUUUGCAGAUGGGAGCAGACCCACCAAUGGGAGUGCCCACCUGCAGCCAACACUUAUGAAUACCAGCUGCUGGGAAUUGCAGGUGGGCAGACAGCUGUUGUACUCUGGUCCCGCUUGCUUGUUUCCCACAGGUGUCUGCUUGGCCACUGUGAGAACUGGAUGCUGAACUUUGGAGAACGAGCGAGGUCCCAGCUAAAGAAGAAUGGCAACUGAAGCUGAUGGAAUACAGUAUGUGCAGCUUGCGGACUUAACAUAUAGAAUAAGAGAACAAGAAGAACAUACGUUUAGAGAAGAUUGGAAAAUGUUUAUUGAAUACAGUGGUACCUCUGGUUGCGAACGGGAUCCGUUCCGAAGGCCCGUUCGCAACAUGAAAAGAGUGAAACCCGCAGUGGCGCGUCUGCGCAUGCGCGGGUUGUGAUUUGCCGCUUCUGAGCAUGCACGUGAUGUCAUUUUGCACUUCUGCGCAUGAGCGAGUGGCAAAACCCGGAAGUAACCCUUUCUGGUACUUCCGGGUCGCCGUGGGACAUAACCUGAAAGAAUGUAACAUGAAGCAAACAUAACAUGAGGUAUGACUGUAUAUGGGGGGAAAUUGUGUACACUUGAAAACGUUGGCAGCAUUAAGAUAAAUUCAACAGUUUUGAUGGAUGUAAUAAUGGAAUAAAAUGUGUAAAAUAUGCAGGGUUUUACAGUUGGCAAAAUGAACCAUGGAAAGAGAAGAAGGGAAGUAACUGAUAUUUUAAGGAUGUUUAAAUGAGUAUUCUAAAUUGUAAAAUACAAAAUUUAAUAAAAAUUAUAUAUAUAUAAGUGAAUAGGAUGCUGAACUAGACGAGCCAUUGGCCUGAUUCAGUAGGCUCUUCUUAGGUUCUGGUAUUCCUACAGCACAAGAAACGUGCCACAAGUGAGCAUGCCACGCCUCAUCUUCAAAAGCAUGCCAGGAGGGGAAACCUGUGAGAGCCUCUCUGCUCCUUCUGUCCAGUUCUGAGUUCCUUGCUUUGCUCCUGAGUCGUGACUCCUGAGCAUGGCACCUGCUGCCGAUGCUGUACGGUUACUUGCGCAAAUAAAGACCCCUUUUCUGCU